CCUCCUGCAUAACUGGCUGUGAGUAAGGGGUCAGUGUUUGGAAUUCCUCAUCUCUACUCGCUUUGGUUUUGUUCAGAGACUGUGAACUUCCUCGUUGAACACGGUGCUCUGUGGGAUUCAGACUAGGGAAAGGCACAAGUCUCCUGUGCAGAGUUCAGUACCAAUGGAGAAGAAGUGGAGGGUCAGAGUCUGCUCUCCUCCUUUCAUAAGAUUUGAUGUGUCUGGCCAGAUUCUGCUGUGCAGAUACCAAGGGAAAAGAGAGCUCACAUCAGUCUACUGCCCUCAUGCGAUGGAAAUCAAGUGAGAGCAAUGGGACCAUGAGAAUUAUUGCUGCCACGAACAAGCUGUGCAACUGGGAGAACAGAUGUGACUCUCAAUGAGAUAAGUGUCUGUCUUGGUGAUUGCUCUGUUUUUUGAGUAGCUGUGCUUAUGAGGGAGACAGGAUACCUAUUUUCAGGGGCUGCUCAGUUCUCUGGCCAGUAGCGCUGUGUCCUCUGCAGCAGAAGGUUAGAUCCAGGAGGAUGACUGCAGGUGGAGAGUUGCGUGCCUUCCUCCCAUGUCUGUCUGUCUGUCUGUCUCUCUGUUCCCUACUAUAUUGGCCAACACACACCCGUUCUCUGUCUUUGCACUAUCUGCCUUUGUAGGACAUGGGCAGGCAUGCUAGGUGUGCAUUGCCACAGGUUAGGUCUUGGGAGCCCUGGAGUAGUAGGAGGGGAUGAAAGUCAUGUGGGGCUGUGGAUGCUAAAAAGGAGCAAUGACAGUUGGUGUUAACUUGGUCUCUGUUCAUCGAGUGGGGCCGAUGUAGAUGGGAUGGAAGAGGGAGGAAGGGAUGAGUGCAAGAUUCCAAGCACCAAUAGUGCUGUGUGUAGUGAUAGUUCUUGUUUGGCUUCAUUAGUUUGCAGAGGAAUUGUCUAGGAGACUUAGCUGGAUGAGACUAUAUCAGAAGUGGAUCUGAGCAGCUUGGGCAUCCUUUUAAAGAGACAUGAAUAAUUCUCAUGUUUCUGACUGGUACCAAGGGAAAAGAAGUCAAGAGUCAGUCUACUGCCGUGACAUGGUGAAAACUGUUCUAACAGAGGAAUUGUUGUUCUGGAGCCGUAGCCGGAGGAGAAACUGCAUCUGAGCAGCUUGGACAUCGUUCUAAGCAGACAUGAACAGUCCUCACUUUCUGCCUUCUGCAUAACUACACUGCACGAGUUUUAGCAUCACAUCUGAAGCCUAAGUACCGCAGAGAGAGAAGUCAAGGUCCCCGUUGUGAGAUGGAAAGCACACAAGAGCCGUGAGACAGUGAGCGUUGUUGAUGCCAGGCUAUGGCGAUGCCGUCGAGCUGGGAGCGGAACAGCCAUCACCACCAGUGAGAUAAGUGUCUAGUUUGCUGAAGACUCUGGUAACGGCACACCUGCCUCCAGGGUUGGACUGGUCGUUAAAUGUGGCUCGGUUUGUAGGAAAAGAUUCCUGACUAGCUGUGGUUACGAGGGAGACAAGGUUCCCGUUUUCAGGGGCUGGUCAUUUCUCCGUCCACAAGCAGUGUGUCCUACGCAGCAGAGGGUUGGAUCCAGGGGGAUGACUCCAGGUAGUGAGUUUCUUGACUUCCUCCCACGUUUUUCUGUCUCUCUCCUCUAAUAUGUUGGCCAACACACACUCUGUCUGUCACUCUCUCUCUGUCCUUGCUUUUUCCUUGUGCUGUCUCCUUUUUUAGGACAUGGACAGGUGUGGUAGGUGUGCAUCCCCACAGGCUUGGUCUCAGGAGCUAUGAACAAGUAGGAAGGGCCCGAAAUCAUGCAGGGUAGUGGGCACUAGAGUGCAACGGUGACUGUGGGUGUUGAUUGAAUCUCUGCUCUAGUGGAGCUGAAGCAGAUGUGAUGGGAGAGGGAGGCAGGGAUGAGGGCAAGAUUUCGUGCACCAAUUGAAUUUUGUGUCGUCAUGGCUUUUGCUUGGGUUACUUGCUGCAUUUGCAGAGGAAUCAUCCAGGAGCAGCAGCCAGAGGAGAAAUUGGCAGACAUGGACCUGAGCAGCCUGGACAUCCUUCUAAGCAGAGAUUAACAGGCCUCAACUUUCUACCUUCCACAUAACGGGGUUACCAAUAGAAAAGAAGUGGAAGGUCAGCGUCCACUCCUCUCCUGCGAUGGAAAGCGAGUGAGUGCGAUGAGAUAGCAAGCAUUACUGAUGCCAG